UUGGCUUAGAAGCAGCCAUCAUUUAAAGAAAGCGUAAUAGCUCACUGGUCGAGUCGGCCUGCGCGGAAGAUGUAACGGGGCUAAACCAUGCACCGAAGCUGCGGCAGCGACGCUUAUGCGUUGUUGGGUAGGGGAGCGUUCUGUAAGCCGUUGAAGGUGUGCUGUGAGGCAUGCUGGAGGUAUCAGAAGUGCGAAUGCUGACAUAAGUAACGAUAAAGCGGGUGAAAAGC
rnacentral:rRNA from 1 species